UAACAUUCAUUCAUUCAUAAAUGUAGCUGAUGGCCAGCGUUUCAAUUCUAACAACAUCUGUGCGUGCAAACGCGAACAAAGGGUUGAUAGAUGAAUUCAAAAAUGGCCGAGGGAGAAUUCGAAGUGGUACCUAUACCACAGGUUUCCUUGGCUCCGGACCAGUUGUCUCGAAAGUUUUUGCUGUGUCAAUCACCCACAACGUGAGUAACGUCGACAAAACUUGCCCACGUGACAACACUCGUCGUGACCUUAUGGAUUUCGUCAAGGUCAAACGAGCACCCACGGCCGUGGGCUGUACCGCCUGUCCUUCCAAUAUUGCCACACACAGAUGCAGGCAAUGCGCAGAAUUUCUGUGCGGCGAGUGCGAGAGUGCUCACAAGCGUGUGAAUGCUACCAAAAACCACAUCCUGCUGGAAUUGGAGAAGCUAAAGCAGUCCAGUGAUCUCGACGCCUUUUGCCGCCAGCUGUUAUGUAGCGAGCAUCCGGAUAAUGAUCUAAAGCUAUACUGCACGAAAGAAUCAUGUCAGAAACCGGUAUGCAUGAUGUGCGCCAUCGUCACUUGCAAAGAGACGAACGGCCACAAGAUUGAAAGCGCUGAUACCGUGGCCAAUUCCAAAAGACAGAUCAUAAGGGAUCAGAAAGUAAAAAUGGAAGAUGUUGGCAAACAGAUACAGAGCGUCACCAAUGACGUCAAGGCCGAACAGGAGAUGGUAUCUAAGCUUCGAAAGUCAGUGGAGGAUGAAAUUGAUAAAACGUUCGAUAGUCUGGAGCAGAUCAUUUCGCAAGGCCGCGCGGAUCUGAAAAAGACCCUGGAGGAUGAUGUUAUGGUCAAACAAGAUAACCUUAAAACUCAAGAUGCUGACCUGAAGAGAAUGAGAAGCGAGAUAGAGGAAUCGAGCAAGUUUACUGACCAAGCUUUGGCUUACACCAACGCCCCGGCUUUCCUUCAGGUUUACCAAACCAUACAGAACAGACUGAAAACUCUCACCGACCAAUUCUUCGACAAGGAGCCACACGAAAUGGCGACUUUUGGUUUCCACGCUAAAGGUUUGGUGUCAGAAAUCCAAAGCAAAGUUGCCGAGAUGGCCAAUAUCUGGUCUGUCUCGGCCUUUCCACCGAACUGUAAAGUCGAGUUCGGAGACGAUUUGGAGGAGAAUAAAGCGGCAACUUUUAUCGUCAAACUAAAAGAUUUCCAAAAGAAAGGACCUUUCAAAGACGGAGGACUAGACGUAACUGAUAUGAAAAUCAUCAUCAAGGAUCCAAAAGGUGCUGAGACUGAAUGUGCCAGAAAGAUGAAAAAAGGAAGCACUGACGAGCUGGAGGUCACCGUGAAGCCAACCAUGACAGGGAGACAUUCUCUAGAGAUCAGAGUACUGGAUAGAGUGGUUGUCAGCAAAGAUUUUGAGAGCAAACCAGCUGUGGUGCGAGGAAGCAGGAAGGAACCAUCUCCUCAAAAAACUCCACCUGUCAGGAGGGAAGUACCAAAACCAGAGCAACCAGCAACACCACUUGGCAUUCAAAAGCCAGAUAUGACCUUUGACCGUGACAAGGCACACAAAGAUGUUUCCAUUUCCGCUGACGGAAAGGUUUUCAAAAACAUCUCUGCUGGAGACCAAACGGAGCCUGUCCCUAGCAACAGUCGUUUACAAAAAUACAAAGGUGCUCUCUGCGCGAAGGGCAUAAAGUAUCCCGGGCGAUAUUACUAUGCGAUUAAAAUGGAGAUUAAGGUUAAGAAGCCUUUGGAUAAAAGCAAUCUUGUCUACGAGCUCGGAAUCGCUAGAAAGUCCGUCAUCGGGAAAAAUUUGGUUGUGGAGGGAGAGAAAUUUGCAUGGUCAAUGAUCGGGGCCCACCAUGUGGAUUGUGAUGCUAUCUGUCUACACAUCGCCCACAACAACCACUUGCUCUACCACGAGGUUCUAACAAAGAACGAAACCGGAAGCACUAUGGAGAGAGUAUUUGGAUUCCUUCUGGACACCGAGUUUGGCCAAUGGAAAGUCUUCGAUCACAAGAUCGAGAAGGAGAUAUGCGUUGUGGAGUCUGUUGAUUGCUCCGAGUUUUUGUAUCCAGUGGUUGCUGGCUACAAUCCAAAUAGCGUCGAAGUUACCGCUACCUUUAUGGACGUGUAACAUUUAACAUAAAAAAACCUUAUGAACAGAAAACCCAAGUUCUCUGAAUGUGAUAAAAAGUAAAUUGCAAGAUAAAUCGAAUUAAUGUUAACUCUCAUAUUAUUCUUUGACCUUUAGUUAUAUUUCAUUAAAUUGUAUUGAUUAAAUGAAUAAUUCAUGAAAUUAUUUCCUUACACAAUUCUUUAUAUUCUUUUUUGUAUAUUGUUUGAAUAUCCUUAAUUGUUAUCUUUUGUUUUAUUUUUGAUUAACUGAACUUAUGAUGGCUUGUAUUUUUUGUGUAUACGCAUUGUUAUGACAGGCGCUUGCACAAAUGUAUAUGAUUAUAAAGAUAGAACUUAUAGUAUUUAAAAUAAUUAUUGGAAACUAAUAUUGUAUUGUUAUGUACAAUGAUCAUGCAGAACAUUUUCAAACAUAUGUUAAUGUUAUUGUUUCUAAAAUGCAAAUGCAAAUGUUUGAAAUGCCAAAUCCAAAAGUUAUUGAAUGAAAAGAAAACAACAAAAUAAUGCUAUUGUAGAUAUAUUUAUUUACAUGCAAAGGUAUUUUAAUUCUACGUUAGACACGAUUAUGUCAUUAUAGUGGUACACUUUGUUUUGAUCAUCUUGCUUUUGUUAUUUGAUGAUUUAACCCUUUAUAUAUAUAUAUAUAUAUAUUUUGAUCUAAAUAAGAAAUCCAUCCUUCCUCCCAAAAGGAAAUAACCAAAAAGUUGUUAUUUUAGAUAUACCUAUUUAUUGGUAUUUUGAUUUAAUGUUGAUGAAAACUACCUUAUUUUAGUGGUCCAAUUUGUUUUGAUAGUAUUUCUAUUGUUAUUUGAUGAUUUAACUCUUCACAUAUAUAUAGUUUGAUCUAAGAAGAAAUCCACCCUUCCUCACAAAAGGAAAAGAACCAAAAAGUUGUUAUUUCAGAUAUAUCUAUUUAUAGGUGUUUUUUUUUAAUGUUGAUUAAGACUUCCCUAUUUUAGUGGUCCAAUUUGUUUUGACAGUCUUUCUAUUGUUAUUGGAUGAUUUAACUUAAUGAAAAAAAAGGCGGGAAGUUCUGUAUAACAUGUUAUACAUAAACAACACGUAGCGAAGCAUUGUAUGGUAUUCGGGUUGCUUUACCGUGUAUAGACUUGGUUGGUUAUAAUUACUUACAUGAUGUCUGUUUAUCUGUAUUUAUCUCUACUGUCUAAAUAAAGUGUACAGCACGUCUUGUUUUUAUUCAGUUCGUUCUGUGCUAAAUAGAAAUCAAAUCAAUAUUGACAUUUGUCUAUACGGGUCAUACGUUAUAAAAAUAAUGU
rnacentral:misc_RNA from 1 species